CAGAAGUAGCAUACUUAUACGAUAUUGCUAAUUAUCGAUCACAUAACAUAAAAGUACACGGCUUUUAUGUAAAAAUAUUUAAUGUAAAAGUUUUACUGGUUAAUUACAAAUAAUACAAUCACUCCGAUAAUCCAUGAAAUGAGGUAAUUUUACCAUUUUUGAUUUAUAAAUAUUUAUUGGGGAUAUAUCGGUCCCAAAAUUUUGAUGCUUCAUCCAGUUCUGUCCUAAUCGGACACACAAGAAUAACCAAUGAACAAACUGUACUCAAUCAUUAUAGAUAUCAGACAGUGACAUCAUCAUCAAUUAAUCCAUCUACGAGCUAAGUUUAAACCCCAAUAUCUUGGCCAUUCUGGAAUUUAUGUUUAUGAAAGUGUGCUAAUCGGAUUCAGCUCAUAAAAUUGUAUAAGUUUAAAUAUAAAAUCCUUGAGAUGUGCUCCAAAUACAAAGAUUAUCAGUGUUCCGAACGUGGGUUGUUUUCUCUUGUUCAGCUAACAAUUCCCAAUCAUUAUUAAAUAAUAAUUCCAUUGUUGGAAAGAAUUGUGUAA
rnacentral:lncRNA from 1 species